AAAGGAACAGAGCAAACAAGCAGACU
rnacentral:piRNA from 1 species